rnacentral:snoRNA from 1 species
CUUCGGCAUGAUAACUGGAUGACGGUCUCAACAAUCCCACGACCAUAGUCUUUUAAGUUGCCGAUAUAUCGAUGUGUUACCACGGGCGAGGGAAUCUUACACGUGUCUCUGAUUCAUUCACAUGAAGUUCUCACGUUUAGUUCUUCGCUACAUAU